UUCUCAAAAAGAAUUGAAAUUUGAACUCAUAUGUGUCGUGUUUUCUGGGUUUAAUGGCGGUUUCAACAAUUUCUGGAAAGGACCCUGAAAACAAAGACCCAAAUCUAUUUUCCCCUAAAGAACAACUUGCAGUGGCCGGAGAUAUGUUGCGGUUGCCGGAGGAAUUAGAUUGGCAACAACAAACUGAAUAAAUCAAGGAAUAAUAUCACCUGAAAUUGCGGAGACACUGGCAUAAGGCGAGAAAGAUAUACACUAUCAAUAAUAGAAGUCAUAAUUCUUGAUACCGUUCGCUUACUUUGCACAUGUUAAGCGAAUGUGUAAUUAGAUGGCCCAUGAAGUGGCUAAUAAGUCCUUAUAUCCUCCUUUUUAGGAGUUAUUCAGUGUAUUAUGUUAAUUGCAGUAACCAUUACUGAGAAAUAUUAUGUACUUCUAUUUUCAUAUAUCAAUAUAAUCCUUGUUUUGACAAAAA